GACGAACGCUGGCGGCGUGCUUAACACAUGCCAGUCGAACGGAAAGGCCCUGCUUUUGUGGGGUGCUCGAGUGGCGAACGGGAGAGUAACACGUGAGUAACCUGCCCUUGACUUUGGGAUAACUUCAGGAAACUGGGGCUAAUACCGGAUAGGAGCUCCUGCUGCAUGGUGGGGGUUGGAAAGUUUCGGCGGUUGGGGAUGGACUCGCGGCUUAUCAGCUUGUUGGUGGGGUAGUGGCUUACCAAGGCUUUGACGGGUAGCCGGCCUGAGAGGGUGACCGGCCACAUUGGGACUGAGAUACGGCCCAGACUCCUACGGGAGGCAGCAGUGGGGAAUAUUGCACAAUGGGCGGAAGCCUGAUGCAGCAACGCCGCGUGCGGGAUGACGGCCUUCGGGUUGUAAACCGCUUUCGCCUGUGACGAAGCGUGAGUGACGGUAAUGGGUAAAGAAGCACCGGCUAACUACGUG
rnacentral:rRNA from 1 species